rnacentral:rRNA from 1 species
GUGUCCUGGGCUACACACGUACGUACAAGUGGACCGGGUACAAAGGGCCGGCGAAGGGUGACCCGGAGCAAUCCACGACAAACCGGUCUCAGUUCGGAUUGUAGUCUGCAACUCGACUACAUGAAGUCGGAAUCGCUAGUAAUCGCAGGUCAGCAUACUGCGGUGAAUACGUUCCCGGGCCUU